rnacentral:miRNA from 1 species
ACGAUGGAUGUAAUGGCACGCU